GGGGUUAUGGCUCAGCGGCAGAGUGCUCACUUAGCAUGUGUGAGGCCCUGGGUUUGAUCCUCGGGACCACA
rnacentral:tRNA from 1 species